GAAUCAUCUGUGGUCUAACACAGUUCACCAAUAGAAGUCAUGUGGCUUUUGCAGCACUUGAAGCUGUCUGUUUCCAAACACGAGAGAUUCUGGAUGCAAUGAAUCAGGAUAGUGGGAUUGCUCUCUCUCAGCUCCAGGUUGAUGGAGGAAUGACCUCUAAUCGGUUACUGAUGCAGCUGCAGGCAGACAUACUGUGUAUUCCAGUUGUUAAGCCAUCUAUGCCUGAGACCACUGCUUUGGGCGCUGCCAUGGUGGCAGGAGCAGCUGAGGGGGUCAGGAUUUGGAGCUUAAACCCAAAAGAUGUUACUGAGGUCAUUUCAGAGAAAUUUGAACCUCAA